CAAUAAGCGGAGGAAAAGAAACCAACAGGGAUUGCCCUAGUAACGGCGAGUGAAGCGGCAACAGCUCAAAUUUGAAAUCUGGCUACUUUGUAGUCCGAGUUGUAAUUUGUAGAGGAUGCUUUUGGUGAGGUGCCUUCCGAGUUCCCUGGAACGGGACGCCAUAGAGGGUGAGAGCCCCGUACGGUUGGAUGCCAAACCUUUGUAUAGCUCCUUCAACGAGUCGAGUAGUUUGGGAAUGCUGCUCUAAAUGGGAGGUAUAUCUCUUCUAAAGCUAAAUACCGGCUAGAGACCGAUAGCGCACAAGUAGAGUGAUCGAAAGAUGAAAAGCACUUUGAAAAGAGAGUUAAACAGCACGUGAAAUUGUUGAAAGGGAAGCGCCUAUGACCAGACUUGUUUCUUUCAGUUUUGCUAGUUUUCGGACUGGUUUACUCUGUUAGUACAGGCCAGCAUCAGUUUGUUGUCGGGGAGAAAGGCUUUGGGAAUGUGGCUCCCUCGGGAGUGUUAUAGCCCUUUGCAUAAUACCCUUCGGCAGACUGAGGACCGCGCUUCGGCAAGGAUGUUGGCGUAAUGG
rnacentral:rRNA from 1 species